rnacentral:misc_RNA from 1 species
CGAAAGCUAUCCCCUGGCUUUAUUGAACCCAGCCACAAGAUCCGCCUUCCAAAUGAAAUAGUUGUAAUAGAGCUGUUGAUGUCAGUUAAUUUGAAUGCCUGCUUUGCAUUGGCAAGGCCAGUUCGGUGACCAUUACCUGAUGCAUGUGAAUAUCAUGUAUGCAGCUUUUGGACACUCCAUAGAGAAGGGAAGGGAAAUUUAAAUUGCUAGAUCGGAUACUUAUCUAAAAACUAACAAAAUUUUAUAUGGAUCGCAACUGACAAGCCCCC